AUGUGUGGACACCAGAGACAACCUCUUUGUGGCUGAGCACUACACAGGUAAAGUGAAGAAAAUACAAUAUAACAUGUAAAUAAACAAUACAUGUGACAAAACACAAACCAUAGGUGAUGUGUUAUUACAUUUAGAUAGACUCCGUAUAUGUAUUCAUGAAGCACUGUUAUUGAAUGAAACUGUUUGUUUGUCAUGUAAGCAAAUUACAUAUGGACAUUUUGUGUACAUGUUUAUUGAUUCCACGUAAAGAAUUGUUCUACAUAGGGAUGUUUUUUAGUUUAAAUAAGUCCAGAGGGCUCUAAUACAACACAGUUCAGUUUUAUAUAAGAUGAAUUUUACUAACAAAACAUUGAUGCAUAAUGUGCAUGAUGGCUUCAUUUGUUAUUGACUUCAUAUUGAGUAGUCGACAAAGAAAACUCGUGUUGACAUCCAUUGUUCUACGUUUAAUGUAUCCUUUUAUGAUUUUGCAUGAUUACCGUAUUUAGAUAUUACUGGUAAAUUAUGUUGAUGCACUACUCAUAACAUAUUGAGUUUAAUAAAACAACCACUGUACAUUUGUU
rnacentral:misc_RNA from 1 species